rnacentral:rRNA from 1 species
AGUGAACGCUGGCGGUAGGCCUAACACAUGCAAGUCGAACGAGUGGCGGACGGGUGAGGAAUGCAUCGGCAACUACUCUGUCGAGGGGGAUAACGGAGGGCAAAUGAAGCUAAUACCGCAUACGAUAGAAUGAGCCGAUGUCGGAUUAGCUAGUUGGCGGGGUAACGGCCCACCAAGGCGACGAUCCGUAGCUGGUCUGAGAGGAUGAUCAGCCACACGGGAACUGAGACACGGUCCAGACUCCUACGGUAGGCAGCAGUGGGGAAUAUUGGACAGUGGGCGCAAGCCUGAUCCAGCCAUACCGCGUGGGUGAAGAAGGCCUUCGGGUUGUAAAGCCCUUUGGUUGGGAAAGCGGUACCCAAAGAAUAAGCACCGGCUAACUUCGUGCCAGCAGCCGCGGUAAUAC